GGCCCCAUAGCUCAGCUGGAUAGAGCAGCCGCCUUCUAAGCGGCAGGUCGGAGGUUCGAGCCCUCCUGGGGUCG
rnacentral:tRNA from 1 species